CAGAUUGGUACCGAUGAAUUUUGAAUUUUUUCUGGAAGUUGUUAGUUUCAGCACAUGUCGGCACCCACUACACUGGUAUUUAAAAUCUUGUUCAGGGCCAUUUCAUUUGCUUGAGGGAUCUACAUAUCACCACACAACUAAAAGAAAGGGAUUCAACAAGUUGAUACCAGCUGUUCAUAAAAUCAAGAUCUGAAAAGGCUAUAGUUUUCGUUUUCUGUUCACAUCUUAGUAACCAUGGAUUUUGAUCAAACACACUUCCACGUAUCCAUAAUUGCUCAACUAAUGAUUCAUCAUGUGGACACAGAAUAUUUUCAGUUUGUUUGUUGUUAAAGCGAUAAUAAAUGGUUCAUCAUCAUCUCUUGACCAUCAUACAACAUGAAGGCCUCGUAUGCUGCUUCUUUACAUCUGCAUUCCUUUAGGAUGGAUAAAUUACUGGUAAUGGAUGGUUUUCAAGGCAUGUAACUUCUGCUAUAUGAUUACAUGUUUAGGAGGCCCAUGUACCUUCUUAUGGUAGGAGCCC
rnacentral:lncRNA from 1 species